rnacentral:rRNA from 1 species
GCUCGACCUCAGAUCAGGUAGGAGUACCCGCUGAACUUAAGCAUAUCAAUAAGCGGAGGAAAAGAAACCAACAGGGAUUGCCCCAGUAGCGGCGAGUGAAGCGGCAAGAGCUCAGAUUUGAAAUCGUGCUAUUUUUUUGGCACGAGUUGUAGAGUGUAGGCGGGAGUCUUUGUGGAGCACGGUGUCCAAGUCCCUUGGAACAGGGCGCCUGAGAGGGUGAGAGCCCCGUGGGGUGCCGUGC